CCCUUAGAUGUCCUGGGCUGCACGCGCGCUACACUGGAAGUUACGGAUUGAGAUACUACCUUGUCCGAAAUGGUCCGGGUAAUCACCUAAAAGCUUGUCAUAAUUGGAAUGGAUUAUUGUAACUAGUAAUCCUGAACGAGGAAUUCCUAGUAAGUCCCAGUCAACAGCUGGUACUGAUUACGUCCCUGCCCUUUGUACACACCGCCCGUCGCUACUACUGAUUGGACGUUUAAGCAAGAUUUUUAAACACUGACAGUGUGUAGUUCAAGCCAUACUACAGUGAGAAGAAGAAGAUCGAGCUUACUUGUCUAGAGGAAGUAAAAGUCGUAACA
rnacentral:rRNA from 1 species